GACAGAGGCCUCAAGCGUUAGGCGGAAUCACUGGGCUUAAAGCGUGUGUAGGCGGAUCGUUAAGUGUCUUGUGAAAUCCCACGGCUCAACCGUGGAACUGCCGGGCAUACUGGCGAUCUUGAGGCAUUCAGGGGCGAGCGGAACAAAUGGUGGAGCGGUGAAAUGCGUAGAUAUCAUUUGGAACGCCAAUGGUGAAAACAGCUCGCUGGGAAUGAUCUGACACUGAGACGCGAAAGCCAGGGGAGCGAACGGG
rnacentral:rRNA from 1 species